rnacentral:rRNA from 1 species
AUGGCCGCCGCCGACCCAGUCCGCGACGGGCAGACGGCCCUCGCGCUCCGCCUCGUCAAGCACCUCGCGGCCGCAGACGCGGACGCCGCCGCUAAGAACGUCGCGUUCUCGCCCGUCUCCAUCCACGCUGGCCUCGCGCUGGUGGCCGCGGGUGCGGGCGGCGCCACGCGGGCCCAGCUGCUUAACUUCCUCGGCGCGCCGACGGCAGACGGCCUCGCUGCCUUCGGUCGCCUCGUCGCCGACCGCGUCCUGGCCGACAAGGUGGGCUCCGGCGGGCCGCGCGUGCUCUUCGGCGGCGGCACCCGCACCGUCAGCUUCACCGAUGAGCCGGAGGAAGCAGUGGAAACGAUCAACCGCUGGGUGAAGAAGGCGACCAACAACCUCAUCGACUCCAUGAUCUCACGCAGCGACAUCACCGCCGACACCGACCUCGUGCUCGCCAACGCGGUCUACUUCAAGGGCAGGUCAUCGGGCGAGUUCCACCGGCUUGACGGCAGCCACGUAAGGGCGUUCAUGUACGAGCUCAAGACCAUGUCCAUCUCGUGCAUGGACGGCUUCAAGGUCCUCAAGCUCCCGUACGGCCCGGACGGGGAAUAUGAACCCGCCCCAGGGGGGCUUCCCUACAAGAUCCACCGUGGCCCACGGGCCACCUCCGUCAAGACGCCUCUGGGCGAGGAUGCCACCCAGUUCUCCAUGUUUGUCUUCCUCCCAGACGAGCGCGACGGCAUGGCCACCAUGGUGGACGUGAUCACCGCGGCACCUGGGUACCUCUACAGCGUCCUGCCCACGGAAACCAAGCUAGUGCAAAUCAACCUCCCCAAGUUCGAGGUGUCAUUGGACUGGGACCUUGGUAGUGACCUCCGUCGGCUGGGACUCACGCUGCCCUUCUCGCGGAAGGCGGGCGACCUGCGAGGCAUGUACAAGAAGGACGACGGGCGGCCGACCUUCCUGACCAAGGUUGCGCACAAGGCGAUCAUCAAGGUGAAUGAGGAAGGGACCGAGGCGGCUGCGGUCAUGACGGCCUUGCGUGGCGGCGGACCAAUGCCGGACCAUGUGGAGUUCGUCGCCGACCAUCCGUUCACGUUCAUCAUCAUGGAGGAGCGCUCAGGGGUGAUCGUGUUCGCCGGCCACGUCCUCGACCCUACCUGCAAGUGA